rnacentral:tRNA from 1 species
GCUCCCGUGGUCUAAUAGGAAAGGCGCUGCUCUUCUAAAGCAGUUAAUUGCAGGUUCGAAUCCUGCCGGGAGUACCA